UUCAGGGUGGUUCCAUCAUCUAAGUCUAUAACCUGUCCACCAUACAAUGACUGUAACAAACUUCGAAGGCUAAUAUCUGUAAUAGUUAUAGGUUUUAUUGUUAUAUAUAUUAAAGAAAAAGUAAAAGAACUUUUAUGCAAAAAGUUGUUGGAGGGUUAUAAUAGCAAAAAGGUCUUUAUAAAUAUACAAAACCCUACCUUUUCCCGUCAGUCUCUUUUCCUCCUCCCGUCUGUGUUCCGCCACACUAAAAAAAAAAAGGGAUUAAAAAAAAAGUGAAAAAUCGAAGAAGAAGAGAAGAAGCACCGAAGUGGUGGAAGGGGACCUCGGAGUUAAGAAGAAGGCUGAGAAGAUUUCCUCCCUCUUAUUGGAGGAAUCCUAGAGGCUCCUCAAAAGCAUCGUGAGAGUUGAACUUUGGAUUAUCAGUUCGUAUUUUUAGACUCGGGAUUAGGUGGAAUUGAGGAUUGUCAAAUUCUUAGAACGAAGCAAAGAAUAAUUCGAGAUUGUUAUUGUCUUCUAGGCGAAGGUUAAAUAAAGUCUUUAAUGUUUAGAUGAUGAAUUGAGAGUUUGUAAUAAUGAGAUUCUUUCUUUAGGUUGAGAUUUAUUUGGAGUUGAGGAAUAUUUAUUUUUAUCAAGUUAAUUGGCUUAGUUGACUUUUGGGAUUAUAGAGAAUAUUUGUUGUUGGUUUUAGUUCAAUGAAGAGAUUUGUUUUAGUGUUCUUUUAA